rnacentral:rRNA from 1 species
GACGAACGCUGGCGGCGUGCUUAACACAUGCAAGUCGAACGGUAAGGCCCUUCCGGGGGUAGACGAGUGGCGGACGGGCGAGUAACUAGCGCGUAACUUGCCCACCCUUUUGGGUUAACUAACUUAAAGUGGCGCUAACACAUGCUAUGUGCUCGCGCCGCCUGGUGGGGGGGGGAAAGCACGGGUGGGUGUGGAUGGACGCGCGGCCUUUCAGCCUGGUGGUGGGGUAGGGGCCUACCUACGAGGCGAUGGGGAGCCGGCCGGGGGGGGGGGCCGGCCACAUUGGGGCUGGGAUUCGGCCCCGGCUCCUACGGGGGGCAGCAGUGGGGAAUAUUGCACCAUGGGCGGAAGCCUGAUGCAGCAACGCCGCGGGCGGGAUGACGGCCUUCGGGUUGUAAACCGCUUUCAGCAGGGACGAAGCUGUUUGUGACGGUACCUGCAGAAGAAGCACCGGCUAACUACGUG